GGGUUUUGAGUGAAAUCCAAUCUCUACAACUAUGCAAUACACCAACCACUCUAUUUCAUAAUGAACUUCGUACGAACCUGAAUUGUAGAAUUUCAUGGACCAAUCGAUAUCGAAUGGAUUCCAAACCUUGGGGAACAUCAUAAUACGGUCGGAAGAGUCAUUUGGUGGGUUUUGAGUGAAAUCCAAUCUCUACAACGAUGCAAUACACCAACCACUCAAUUUCAG
rnacentral:lncRNA from 1 species